rnacentral:ncRNA from 2 species
AAAAGGCAAUCUGGAGAGUGCCGGCAUUGGGCUGGCCACCGAAGGGGCAGACGGAGCAGGGAAAAUCCUGCCCGUAAUCUCUCAGGUAAAAAGGACAGAGGGGUGAGG